UACGAAGGGGGCUAGCGUUGCUCGGAAUCACUGGGCGUAAAGGGUGCGUAGGCGGGUCUUUAAGUCCGGGGUGAAAUCCUGGAGCUCAACUCCAGAACUGCCUUUGAUACUGAAGAUCUUGAGUUCGGGAGAGGUGAGUGGAACUGCGAGUGUAGAGGUGAAAUUCGUAGAUAUUCGCAAGAACACCAGUGGCGAAGGCGGCUCACUGGCCCGAUACUGACGCUGAGGCUCGAAAGCUAGGGGAGCAAACAGG
rnacentral:rRNA from 1 species